rnacentral:siRNA from 1 species
UCUCAGACCCAAGUUCGAUUC